rnacentral:rRNA from 1 species
UACGUAGGGGGCGAGCGUUGUCCGGAUUUAUUGGGCGUAAAGAGCGUGUAGGCGGCCAGGUAGGUCUGCUGUGAAAACUCGAGGCUCAACCUCGAGACGUCGGCGGAAACCAUCUGGCUAGAGUCCGGAAGAGGAGAGUGGAAUUCCUGGUGUAGCGGUGAAAUGCGCAGAUAUCAGGAAGAACACCAACGGCGAAGGCAGCUCGCUGGGACGGUACUGACGCUAAGGCGCGAAAGCGUGGGGAGCGAACAGG